rnacentral:rRNA from 1 species
AUUGAACGCUGGCGGCAUGCCUUACACAUGCAAGUCGAACGGCAGCGGGGACUUCGGUCCGCCGGCGAGUGGCGAACGGGUGAGUAAUGUAUCGGAACGUACCAUUCAGUGGGGGAUAACUAUCCGAAAGGAUAGCUAAUACCGCAUAUUCUGUGAGCAGGAAAGCAGGGGAUCGCAAGACCUUGCGCUGAUUGAGCGGCCGAUAUCAGAUUAGCUAGUUGGUGAGGUAACGGCUCACCAAGGCUACGAUCUGUAGCGGGUCUGAGAGGAUGAUCCGCCACCCUGGGACUGAGACACGGCCCAGACUCCUACGGGAGGCAGCAGUGGGGAAUUUUGGACAAUGGGCGCAAGCCUGAUCCAGCCAUGCCGCGUGAGUGAAGAAGGCCUUCGGGUUGUAAAGCUCUUUCGGCCGGGAAGAAAUCGCAUCAGCUAAUACCUGGUGUGGAUGACGGUACCGGAAUAAGAAGCACCGGCUAACUACGUGCCAGCCGCCGGCGUAAGAC